UGCUUUGCGCAGUGGCAGUAUCGUAGCCAAUGAGGUUUAUCCGAGGCGUGAUUAUUGCUAAUUGAAACUUUAACUCCGAGGCCCCCCCUCCUCCCAAUUGAGUGGCCGUUUCAGGGAUCUGACGAAAGGUGUUUAAAGC